AUAUUAGCAACACUACAUUCUAAACACGCUAAAAUUAAAAUUUAUGUUUUCAUAUUAAAAUUUAUUUUUAUUUUUUUAUAUUAAUAAAUUAUAUCUAUUUUGUUUUUAAUGAAUUAAAAUAAUCCUACAUGCACUAUAACCACCCGCAAUUUUUCAAAGUAUCCUUAAUGAGCUAAAAAUGUUUGAUGUUUACGAUUCGAAAUUUUUCAGAAAAAACAAAUAAAAAUCAAUGUAUCAACCAGAUCGAAUUGAAAAGGUUCAAAGGUUGAAAAGGUAGAGUUUGAAUAAGUUCUUUUUGCUCGUAGAUUACUCUUCAAAAGGACCAGGGACUUGCCGACCCUCUUCGAAUGCCAUGCCUGUAAAUUCCGGAUCGACAUUCGUUGACGGGAAGAGCAAGCUUGGUUCAACAAUAUUGAGUCCUGGCAGAAAGUGUUUAUCUGUAUGGAUUGCUAGAUUCCAAAACCCCUGGCAAGCUGGAGAGGGGCGAUUUCGAGCAAUAAGAAAAGUAAGAGGAAGAGAAAACGUGGUUCGAAAUCUAGGAUUUUGUUAUUUGAUAUUGGGAGAUCCUGAAAGAGUGUUGGAAGAUGUGGUGCAAAUUCCAUGGCGUAGAUGAAGAUUGAGCGGUGAAAGCCAGAGGAAAGGCGAUAAGGAAAGAGAAGAGUGUAUGUAAUGUAAUUUUUAUUAUUUUUUUUGUUUAAUGUAUUAUUUUUAUGUUUUUUAAGUACUUAAGGGUGUUAAGGUUAUUUAUGAUACCUUGUCGAUGGAUUUUUCCUCUUUU